GAUGAACGCUGGCGGCGUGCCUAAUACAUGCAAGUCGAGCGAACAGACGAGGAGCUUGCUCCUCUGACGUUAGCGGCGGACGGGUGAGUAACACGUGGAUAACCUACCUAUAAGACUGGGAUAACUUCGGGAAACCGGAGCUAAUACCGGAUAAUAUAUUGAACCGCAUGGUUCAAUAGUGAAAGACGGUUUUGCUGUCACUUAUAGAUGGAUCCGCGCCGCAUUAGCUAGUUAGUAAGGUAACGGCUUACCAAGGCAACGAUGCGUAGCCGACCUGAAAGGGUGAUCGGCCACACUGGAACUGAGACACGGUCCAGACUCCUACGGGAGGCAGCAGUAGGGAAUCUUCCGCAAUGGGCGAAAGCCUGACGGAGCAACGCCGCGUGAGUGAUGAAGGUCUUCGGAUCGUAAAACUCUGUUAUUAGGGAAGAACAAAUGUGUAAGUAACUAUGCACGUCUUGACGGUACCUAAUCAGAAAGCCACGGCUAACUACGUG
rnacentral:rRNA from 1 species